rnacentral:rRNA from 1 species
UGGGGAAUUUUGGACAAUGGGCGCAAGCCUGAUCCAGCAAUGCCGCGUGCAGGAUGAAGGCCUUCGGGUUGUAAACUGCUUUUGUACGGAACGAAAAGCCUCUCUCUAAUACAGGGGGGUGAUGACGGUACCGUAAGAAUAAGCACCGGCUAACUACGUGCCAGCAGCCGCGGUAAUACGUAGGGUGCAAGCGUUAAUCGGAAUUACUGGGCGUAAAGCGUGCGCAGGCGGUUUUGUAAGACAGUGGUGAAAUCCCCGGGCUCAACCUGGGAACUGCCAUUGUGACUGCAAGGCUGGAGUGCGGCAGAGGGGGAUGGAAUUCCGCGUGUAGCAGUGAAAUGCGUAGAUAUGCGGAGGAACACCGAUGGCGAAGGCGAUCCCCUGGGCCUGCACUGACGCUCAUGCACGAAAGCGUGGGGAGCAAACAGAUUAGAUACCCUGGUAGUCCACGCCCUAAACGAAGUCAACUGGUUGUUGGGGAUUUAUUUCUUCAGUAACGAAGCUAACGCGUGAAGUUGACCGCCUGGGGGAGUACGGCCGCAAGGUU